UACGGGGGGGGCAAGCGUUGUUCGGAAUUACUGGGCGUAAAGGGCUCGUAGGCGGCCAACUAAGUCGGACGUGAAAUCCCUCGGCUUAACCGGGGAACUGCGUCCGAUACUGGAUGGCUUGAGGUUGGGAGAGGGAUGCGGAAUUCCAGGUGUAGCGGUGAAAUGCGCAGAUAUCAGGAAGAACACCCGUGGCUAAGGCGGCUCUCUAGUACGGUACUGACGCUGAGACGCGAAAGCGUGGGGAGCGAACAGG
rnacentral:rRNA from 1 species